rnacentral:lncRNA from 1 species
AACUUUUAAAAGAAUACUCCUGCAUGUCCCUAUCUCUUUUUCUGUCUCAUCUCGGGACUUUCUCAGUGUUUCAGACUCCAGUUCACCUCGCCCCAGGCUAACAUGAGAUCAGGCAAGUGAGCAAUAUAUGCUAGAGUGCCAGUUGGGGCAAAUAAAUACUAAUUUUCCACUUUUAACAAACAGGGUAGGGGAUGAUGUGAAAUAGGGAGCUUUAUUUUUUUUGGUUGGGCAAUCUAGGAAAGCACACAAGUAGUAAACGUAAAAGAAUGUGGCUGUAGUGUGAUGAAAUUCCCAAACUAAUGAGGUGUGUGUGUGUUGUUCUGUUUUGUUUAAAUAUUCUUAUAAUUCACCUUGUCAGACCAAGCACAUUUUCAGUACUUGUGCAAUACUGAUGGGAAAAAUAUUAAAAAUGACACCAGUAGAUAUGAAACUUAAAAAAAAAAUGUUACAAGAGAAUAUUAUGUACAAUUCCUCAGGCUCAGCUUCAGCCUCCCAUACAUCCUCCACCACCCCUGCCAGUACCAUUCUCACCCCCAAUGCCACCCCUACCCUGUCCUGACCUCAGCACUCUUAUCAGGUUACCAAGUCCCUUCUGGCUUCCCUGAGGCCUUUAAUAAACUUUUCUGUUUCCUUGCCAACCUCCAAAGUUAGUUAUCUCUCCCAACUGAAAACCACAACUGUAACACCUAACCUUAUCUCUUGGCCUCUUUGCCACUAAUUUCAAGACGGCCUUGGUGCUGGCUUAAGAGGAGGACAGGCCAUACAACAAUUGUUGAGAAAGUCAGUGUUUGGCUUACCUAGGGGUUAUUUCAGUCUAAAAAUGCCAGUGUUCCUCAUUUAACUAAUAGGGUACAAGUUGAAUGUGAGAUAAUAUGCUAUGAAGAGAGAAACUCAGGAAAGAAAGUUGAAGAGAAAGGGGUGGCAUAGGGCUACACUCUAAAAUAGUAAUUAUUUUAUGUUCUUAAUUGCAACCAUAUCUCACAAAAUUUCCAAACUGAUUCAUUACUCUUUAAUACGCUACACUCAUUACCCUCUGUGAACAUUUACCCUACAUCAGGAGUCACAGGCUUGCCC